rnacentral:lncRNA from 1 species
CCUGGCCGGCCCCUCCCCGCAUAGGCCGAACCCCAGAUCGGGGAUUUACUACGGGAUGGUGACCGACGGCGGCCAUGGAUGCUGCGCCGACCCGCUGCCGCACCUACCCCUGGCCGGCCCCUCCCUGCAUAUCAUCGAUGUUAUAUUGUUCAAAUUCCAAAAAAUUACAAUUCCACAUGAUGUACAUCCAAAGAGGAUUUGGAAUUCCAUUCCAGCCUUGAUUCUACGGACGAAUACCAUGCGCAUCCAAACAGCAAAACUGGAAUUCCAUUCAAAUCGUUGAUUUGGUAUUCCAUUGCCAAUUCAAUUCCGCGGCGAAUUCUGCGCAACCAAACAGGGCAUAGUAGUAUACUUUGCACCUUGGGUUUGACUUUGCAGCCGCCGUUGCCCCCUCGUGCUUAGCCUUACACCUUGCGGUAUGACAAAGGAUGAUCCAUUUUUACAAACCCACAAAGGCCACCAUAUACAACACAAGACAAACCUAGGAGAAAGCAGUUGCCGUACAUAAAAAGAAAGC